CUGAUUAUUACUCCGUGUGUGACUGAUGAGUUGAGGGGUGCCGUGUCCUCCCCGUCCUCCUUGGAUAUGUAAUAAGUUUGUUAUUUCUCUUGCGCAGUUUCAAGCAUGUAGAGAUCCGGGGUGAAUGCCGAGGCAGCAGCUUUUACCAGGGCGAGUGCAGUGGAACAUUCCAGGACGGCACGGAGGCUGCAGCACCCUCAUCAGCGCACAGAAGGAGCUUAUGGCCCAGGAGCUGUGGCUGUACUUUGGAACCAACAUGUUUGACUACCUGGGGCGGGAUCCUCAGUUACAUGGCCAUCGCUAUCCCCAUCUUUGCUGGAGUGUACAGAGAUAUGAGUUCAGCAGAGCUCAGUGAACUCAUAAGUAAGAAUGCCUUUGUCUCCAUUUACCUGGUAAACUGCUUCAGUCAGAUCAUCGACCUGUCCAGCAGCCUGUGUGAUGUGGCUGGGUACACCCACCGGUGAGUGUUAUUAUGGGGGUGUCAUCCUGGGGGUGCUGUGUGAUGUGGCUGGGUACACCCACCGGUGAGUGUUAUUAUGGGGUGUCCUGGGGGUGCUGUGUGAUGUGGCUGGGUACACCCACCGGUGAGUGUUAUUAUGGGGU